GUUGCCUCUCGGCCUUCUGGCUAAGAUCAAGUGUAGUAUCUAUUUUAUACACAGUAGUGUAUGUAUGAAUCUCCCAAUUCCUCCCACUCCCUUUUUUGCCUCCCUUGGUGUCCAUACAUUUGUUCUCUAUGUCUGUGUCUCUAUUUCUGCUCUGUAAAUAAGAUCAUCUAUACAGUCACCAA